GACGAACGCUGGCGGCGUGCUUAACACAUGCAAGUCGAACGAUGAAGCCGGAGCUUGCUCUGGUGAAUUAGUGGCGAACGGGUGAGUAACACGUGAGUAACCUGCCCUUGACUCUGGGAUAACACUUCGAAAGGAGUGCUAAUACCGGAUACUCACAUCGAGGCACAUGCCUUGGUGUGGAAAGUUUUUCGGAAAGGGAUGGAGUCGCGGCCUAUCAGCUUGUUGGUGAGGUAACGGCUCACCAAGGCGACGACGGGUAGCCGGCCUGAGAGGGCGACCGGCCACACUGGGACUGAGACACGGCCCAGACUCCUACGGGAGGCAGCAGUGGGGAAUAUUGCACAAUGGGCGCAAGCCUGAUGCAGCGACGCCGCGUGAGGGAUGAAGGUCUUCGGAUUGUAAACCACUUUCAGUAGGGACGAAGCGAAAGUGACGGUACCUAAAGAAGAAGCACCGGCUAACUACGUGCCAGCCGCCGCCGUAA
rnacentral:rRNA from 1 species